CCUACGGGAGGCAGCAGUGAGGAAUAUUGGACAAUGGGCGCAAGCCUGAUCCAGCCAUGCCGCGUGCAGGAAGACGGUCCUAUGGAUUGUAAACUGCUUUUGUACAGGAAGAAACACUCCCUCGUGAGGGAGCUUGACGGUACUGUAAGAAUAAGGAUCGGCUAACUCCGUGCCAGCAGCCGCGGUAAUACGGAGGAUCCAAGCGUUAUCCGGAAUCAUUGGGUUUAAAGGGUCCGUAGGCGGUUUAAUAAGUCAGUGGUGAAAUCUGGUCGCUCAACGAUCAAACGGCCAUUGAUACUGUUAGACUUGAAUUAUUAGGAAGUAACUAGAAUAUGUAGUGUAGCGGUGAAAUGCUUAGAUAUUACAUGGAAUACCAAUUGCGAAGGCAGGUUACUACUAAUGGAUUGACGCUGAUGGACGAAAGCGUGGGGAGCGAACAGGAUUAGAUACCCUGGUAGUCCACGCCGUAAACGAUGGAUACUAGCUGCUCGGAGCAAUCUGAGUGGCUAAGCGAAAGUGAUAAGUAUCCCACCUGGGGAGUACGUUCGCAAGAAUGAAACGUCAAAGGAAUUGACGGCNGAGAGAGCGAGACGACGACGAGGGAGGAGG
rnacentral:rRNA from 1 species